rnacentral:rRNA from 1 species
AUUGAACGCUGGCGGCAUGCCUUACACAUGCAAGUCGAACGGCAGCACGGGAGCAAUCCUGGUGGCGAGUGGCGAACGGGUGAGUAAUAUAUCGGAACGUGCCCAGUCGUGGGGAUAACGUAGCGAAAGCUACGCUAAUACCGCAUACGAUCUAUGGAUGAAAGCGGGGGAUCGCAAGACCUCGUGCGAUUGGAGCGGCCGAUAUCAGAUUAGGUAGUUGGUGAGGUAAAGGCUCACCAAGCCGACGAUCUGUAGCUGGUCUGAGAGGACGACCAGCCACACUGGGACUGAGACACGGUCCAGACUCCUACGGGAGGCAGCAGUGGGGAAUAUUGGACAAUGGGCGAAGGCCUGAUCCAGCCAUGCCGCGUGUGUGAAGAAGGUCUUCGGAUUGUAAGCACUUUAAGUUGGGUAGGAAGGGUAGUAACCGUAAUACGUUGCUACUUUGACGUUACCGACAGAUAAGCACCGGCUAACUUCGUGCC